AUUAUAAUAAUGCGCAUCACCGGCCCGCUCUCUANNNNNUUAGCGGAGUUUGAGCGUAUACGCUGAGACCCGAAAGAUGGUGAACUAUGCCUGGUCAGGACGAAGCCAGGGGAAACCCUGGUGGAGGUCCGUAGCGAUUCUGACGUGCAAAUCGAUCGUCUGAACUGGGUAUAGGGGCGAAAGACUAAUCGAACCAUCUAAUAGCUGGUUCCCUCCGAAGUUUCCCUCAGGAUAGCUGGCGCAUAUAUUUACACAGUCUCUCCCGGUAAAGCUAAUGAUUAGAGGUCUUGGGAACGAAACGUUCUCAACCUAUUCUCAAACUUUAAAUGGGUGAGAUGUAUGACUUACUUAAAAUUAUUUAUAAUUUUUUUUAAUGAAGUUCGUACAUUUGGAUGUUUGUGUGCCAAGU
rnacentral:rRNA from 1 species